rnacentral:rRNA from 1 species
CCUACGGGAGGCAGCAGUGGGGAAUAUUGCGCAAUGGGGGAAACCCUGACGCAGCGACGCCGCGUGCGGGAUGAAGGCCUUCGGGUUGUAAACCGCUUUCACCAGGGACGAAGCGAGAGUGACGGUACCUGGGGAAGAAGCGCCGGCUAACUACGUGCCAGCAGCCGCGGUAAUACGUAGGGCGCGAGCGUUGUCCGGAAUUAUUGGGCGUAAAGAGCUCGUAGGCGGCCGGUUGCGUCUGCUGUGAAAUCCCGGGGCUUAACCCCGGGCGUGCAGUGGAUACGGGCCGGCUGGAGGCAGGCAGGGGAGAAUGGAAUUCCCGGUGUAGCGGUGAAAUGCGCAGAUAUCGGGAGGAACACCGGUGGCGAAGGCGGUUCUCUGGGCCUGUACUGACGCUGAGGAGCGAAAGCGUGGGGAGCGAACAGGAUUAGAUACCCUGGUAGUCCACGCCGUAAACGUUGGGCGCUAGGUGUGGGGUCCUUCCACGGGCUCUGUGCCGCAGCUAACGCAUUAAGCGCCCCGCCUGGGGAGUACGGCCGCAAGGCUAAAACUCAAAGGAAUUGACGG